rnacentral:rRNA from 1 species
CUCAAGUGUAAACGGUGGAUGCCUCGACACAAGAAGCCGAAGAAGGACGUUGCAGGAUGCGAAAAGUCUCGGUGAGGUUCCAAGCAACCUUUGACCCGGGAAUGUCCGAAUGGGGAAACCCAUCUAGAUGGAAGAUCUAGAUAUCUCUGCCUGAAUACAUAGGGCAGUUGAAGGUAACCUGGCGAAUUGAAACAUCUUAGUAGCCAGAGGAACAGAAAGAAACACACGCACGAUUUUUUACCAGCAAGCAUCAUGAGUUGCUGGUAAAGGAUCGUGUUCUAUUCCGUAAGUAGCGGCGAGCGAAAGCGGAGAAGCUAAAACCUUUCAGGCUGAAAUUGCGUGAAGCUUGCUUUUAGUAAGCGGAUCGCGAUGGAAGGCUUUGCGGCCACAUGCCUGAUUGGAGUUGUGAGGAUAGUAUAUUCUAAACGCGCAAACGUUUAGAGAGAGCAUUGUUUAACUUCCCUAGCAGAACCUGUUGGAAAACAGGGCCAGAGCGGGUGAUAGCCCCGUACGCGAAAGGGGUUAGCACUCUUUAUACUAACCCUCGAGUACCUCGGGGCCCGAGAAACCCCGUGGGAAUCCGGCGGGAAAGGUGAAAAGCACCCCGGAAGGGGGAUGAAAUAGUAUCUGAAACCGUUUACUUACACAGAGCCGGAGCCUGCCGCAAGGCGGGUGACGGUGUUCCUAUUGAAGAAUGAGCCAACGAGUUUGUACGUACUGUAGCUUAAGCUCCUCUGGAGCGCAGGCACAGGGAAACCAAGUCUUAACGGGCGAAAGCGGGUUCCCAUAAAAUGCGCAAGCAUUUUAUGGGUGCUCCAUUAUUAUAGUACGUACAAGACCCGAAGCCGGGUGAGCUAACCAUUGCCAGGGUGAAGUUGCCGUAACAAGCAGCGGAGGCCCGAACCCACUAGUCGUAUAACGCUAGGGGAUGAGCUGUGGUUAGGGGUGAAAUGCUAAUCGAACUCGGCAAUAGCUGGUUCUCCUCGAAAUAGUUUUAGGACUAGCACGUUGUAUACCCGCAGGGGUAGAGCACUGAAUGGGAUGAGGUGGCGCAAGCCUACUUAUCCUAACCAAACUCCGAAUACUGCGGCUUUGAGCAACGUAGUCAGACCGUGGGGGCGAAGCUCCAUUGGUCAAAAGGGAUACAGCCCAGACCGUCAUCUAACUAGGAGGUUGGCUUAGAAGCAGCCAUCCUUUAAAGAAAGCGUAACAGCUCACUAGUCCAGUCCUUUUGUGCCGAAAAUUUAACGGGGCUAAACUAUGCACCGAAGAUACGGGCUUGCCGAUUUAUCGGCGAGCGGUAGAGGAGCGUUUCAGUUGCGCUGAAGCGUACACCGCGAGGUGGCGUGGAGCGACUGGAAGUGAGAAUGUUGGCAUGAGUAGCAAAAAGACAGGUGAAAACCCUGUCCGCCGAAAACUCAAGGGUUCCUGGGCAACGAUAUUCGACCCAGGGUGAGGCGAUCCUAAGCCGAGGCCGAAGGGCGUAGGCGAUGGAUGAGACGGUUAAUAUUCCGUCCCUGGUGCGCGCGUUCCGUAUGUUGACGCAGUUUUAACUGCUUGAACGUUUUUUUGGAUUGAAACGUUUGCGCCACGGCCUUUCGGGGCCAGGGCGCGAAGAGGAAAAGCCUUCGGGCGGCUCCAAUUCAGGCGUGCGAGCUGCCAAGAAAACGCAUACGGGCAUAGCGCGUACCAUUCGUACCGCAAACCAACACAGGUGAGUAGGUCGAGAAGACCAAGGCGUACAAGACAACCCUCGUUUAGGAACUCGGCAAAACAGCGGCCGUAACUUAGGGAUAAGGCCUGCCCGCAGCAAUGCGGGCCGCAGCUAAAGAUUUCAAGCGACUGUUUACCAAAAACACAGGUCCCUGCGAAAGCGCAAGCUGAUGUAUAGGGACUGAUGCCUGGCCAGUGUCCGAACG